GAUGAAGAACGUAGUGAAAUGCGAUAAGUAAUGCGAAUUGCAGAAUCCGUGAGUCAUCGAAUCUUUGAACGCACAUUGCGCCCUCUGGUAUUCCGGAGGGCAUGCCUGUUCGAGCGUCAUUAUCACCCCUCAAGCCCGGCUUGUUGUUGGAUGCAGCGCUUAUCCCGCUCCUCCCAAAGAUAAUGACGGCGUCUGCGACGACUCCUGUACACUGAGCUUUCGGGCACGUACACGGCUAGAAGUCCAGACCCGGUCGCCGUCCCCCCCGCGGGGACAUCCAUUACCACAAGGUUGACCUCGGAUCAGGUAGGAAUACCCGCUGAACUUAAGCAUAUCAAUAAGCGGAGGA
rnacentral:misc_RNA from 1 species